rnacentral:rRNA from 1 species
CCUACGGGAGGCAGCAGUGAGGAAUAUUGGUCAAUGGGCGCGAGCCUGAACCAGCCAAGUCGCGUGAGGGAAGACGGUCCUAUGGAUUGCAAACCUCUUUUGCCGGGGAGCAAAAGACGCCACGCGUGCCGUUCUGAGAGUACCCGAAGAAAAAGCAUCGGCUAACUCCGUGCCAGCAGCCGCGGUACUACGGAGGAUGCGAGCGUUAUCCGGAUUUAUUGGGUUUAAAGGGUGAGCAGGCGGAAGAGCAAGUCAGCGGUAAAAUUGAGUGGCUCAACCUCUUCGGGCCGUUGAAACUGGUGUUCUUGAGUGAGCGAGAGGUAUGCGGAAUGCGAGGUGUAGCGGUGAAAUGCAUAGAUAUCACGCAGAACUCCGAUUGCGAAGGCAGCAUACCGGCGCUCAACUGACGCUCAGGCACGAAAGUGUGGGUAUCGAACAGGAUUAGAUACCCGGGUAGUC